rnacentral:lncRNA from 1 species
UGCAGCUGCUCCAGAAUCACACUGAACUGAAGGGAGAGCCUAAAAUGGUGCCAUUUGGGUAUUUAGGUAAAUUAUGCCUGCAUAUUGAUAUAUAUCUCUUAACGUUUUAUUUUGAAAUUAAAAAAAAAAAAAAAAGUUCUCAAUAUGUCCAACAGGCCAGUCAUUAUCAGUUUUAAAUUACUAUGCAUAAUUUGAAGACUAUGUUGUUGUUUUCUUGAUCCUCCAGAUGCUUUAGAUCAUUACUUAGCUCCUCUUAUCUUUUACGGAAUAAAGGUGCUGUGCUCUAGUUUUUUAUUGACAGGUGGUCAUGAUAUCAAAAAUUCAAAAUCUGAAAUCUUAAACUUAGAAGCAAAAUUCUGAAGAGGCUUCAUUUCUUGCCCCUACUUUCACGCGAGCAAUAGGAGUGCUGUCAGCUUUAUUUUGUGAGAUAAGCCGUUGAGUAAUGAGACUGGCAAUUACCCCUUCAGUUGUCAGCUAAAUCCACCAAGCAUAAUUAAGGAAGAAAAUUUGCUUCCUGAUUAUUUUUCCACAUAAGCUUAAGUAUAAAUUAACAAAGAAACUCAGGUACAAACUAACAAAGAAACAGUAUUAGCAAUCUUUCUCUUAGUUUUCUCUAUGCAGGAGGUGGAAGCGUGCCGUUUAUGAAUGAGGAGAAUAGCACCAGGGCCCGAGCUGGCUGAUAACUUGGAACAAAAUGUCCGGCGCCUCUUACAGUCACAAAUGUCAGGUUUUGAUAUCCAACAGCAUAUCCUCCGACCUUAACAUGAAACAAAUCUACUUUAGUUUAAUGAUAAGAAUACCUUUUUCAAAUUAAAACGAAUGCUUAGUUUCGCGAAACCUUACCUCUCCCUGAGUGUACCAGGGGUACCAGGCCGUCCUAACCGGUGUCCCCAAUUUUUUAACGGCAUACCUAGUGCAUGUCACUGGCAAGGCACCAUCUGUGUCGCCACUGCAUAUUAUGGUAAACACUAAUUAAUUAAAGCUUGAAUACUGAAAUGACUUAAUUUUUCAUAGGAUGAACAUUUUCACUUACAUUGCCGUACCUGUAUACCCAUAUGCGGAUCCCUUCAGCCAUCAGCUCCUGAAUGAUUGGCAACACGGUUUGUGGUUUAUCUUUCCAAUUUCGAUUUAUUUCUCCACUGUUUUUAGAGGUAGCAUGAAAUCAAAAGACAAAUAUCUGAUUUAGAAAAUUAUGAGACUGCAAGAUACUAAUUGAAACUUAACUUAUAAUUGGUAUAUAGGGCAGUGCCUGCAGGAUUGCAAUGGAUAAGGAAGACCGGUGACAUUUGCAUGUAGAGCUUCCUGAACUCGAGGAAUGUUCAAGUAUGUUUCAAUAUAAUUUUCUGAGCAGGGAUCAAAUGUCGAAACCUGUUUGCUAUUUCCUGUUAGCAGAGGGAUCAACAUACUCAAAAAAAAAAAAAAAACUAUAGAUAUGCUGCAUUAGAUAAUUUAUCCGUG